UGGUGGCCAUGGAGGCGGGGGUACACCCGAACCCAUUCCGAACUCGGAAGUUAAGCCCGCCAUCGCCGAUGAUACUGCCAGGGAGCUGGUGGGAAAGUAGGCCGCCGCC
rnacentral:rRNA from 1 species